UGCACUCCUCAGCCACUGCCAAGAUCUAAAUCUCCAGAUCUGAACCCUGGAGGUUUAAAUCAUGCCAGCGGUAAAGGAGUGCA
ensembl:miRNA aca-mir-5463 aca-mir-5463